GAUCAAACUUCCAGUGACUCCAGAAAAGGACUGCAGCAUGACCAUCCUUUCCUGUUCAGCCAAACACCUUAGCUAGAAUUAUUCAAGUUUAAACCAAAAUUGCAGCGGUAACUGAAAUGCUUGCAGAAUACACGAACAACAGCGCCCUCUGCACCUGAAACCCCUCCAGUUAUUAAACCCAGACGUUCCUACGUGCUGGAGGAGCCUUUAAUUUCAAUUACUGCUUUUUUCAGCUGCUGCUUACACCUUCCCUAUGAAAAUGGUAUGAGAUGACAAGAAAAGGUUUCUGACCUCACCAUCCUCUACUUCCCCCACACUGCAUUUUGAAGGGAAAUUUAUAAAACUCCACCAGUGUAGCCUGGACACUGCUAUCCCAGGAAGGACUACAGGGAGAAAGAACUGGGAUCUUGGGCUCCUACUUUGAGGCUUGAUUACAGCAAUUUGGAGGAUGUAUGCAAACCGAUUCCAGCGACUAAUUGAAGGAACCCUACUAAUUAGAAAAGGCUAUGGAACAAAUAACAAUUGGUCCCUGAGACACAGUGUUAGUCUGCUGGGUUACUUUGUGAGUGUGCUGUGUCUCAGCAGAGAAGAGCAGCUUUGAAUAUGGAAAUGAAGGAGCUUUUCCUGAUAAAACCAGUUCGGAUGCAAGGGACAGCUGAGUGCUCUUGCCCCUGCCAGUAGGACCAUGGCCAGGGCUCAUCUCACUGCGGGGCGACCAUCUGCUGCCACUUAACAGCACAGGAAACCACCACUGAACAAAAGCAUCCACUCGUAGAGCAUCCCACCUCCUGCAACAAAAUGGAGGCAUAAAGGCAAUGCUACUUCAUCACAUACAAUUUACAGUGAAGAGAGGACAGCAAACAUUAUAUUCUAACCAGCAGAGCCAUAGGUAUUUCUGGUGUUAUAUUUGGCUAAAAUCUCACCACCAGUCUCAGCUUCUGGCAUGGAAGGAAAGAAAUCCAUUCCCAAGGGGCACAGAAAGGAUACAAACCUCAAGGCAAGACCCAACCCUUGCAGCCUUUGUGUGAGGUGAAGAAAAUGAAGGAAGUGAAUAAACUGCCCACCUGCUAAAACUGAUGCUGCAAACUGCCCCCAGGAGAACUGCCGAGGAAUCCAGCCUCAUUUUGCCUGGGGAAUGCAAGAUCUCCACUGGGGCUCCUCAAACUCUGCUCCCAUCUCUGCCCUUCUGCCCAGGAAAUACCAUUUAAUGCAUGUGUCCAGUUACUGCAACAAUUUUGAAGAAAGGAAGACGUCAAAGGCAAUGCAAGAAGGCAGGAUCUGGCAACAGCAGCUGUCAAGAUUCCAAACCCAAGAAAUGAAAAAACACCUACUGUCCAAAUUAUUGUUGGACUGGUAGAAACAGGAUAGUAGCCUUUGGUCUUCCUGUGAAUAAACUGGAACAGAACUCUGUAUUGACAGCUGAAUUUCUUUUUCAGCAACUCAACUUUCACAGUGAGUCAGGAGUACAAUUUUUCUAUUCUCUGCAUUUUAGUUUGGUCCCAGCUCUAUCUUCAUGAUGAGCACCA